UCGACUCCUAUCAAUCGGACCA
rnacentral:misc_RNA from 1 species